CCCGCACAAGCGGUGGAGUAUGUGGUUUAAUUCGAUGCAACGCGAAGAACCUUACCUGGUCUUGACAUCCCGGAGACCCUUAGGAAACUAGGGGGUGCUUCCAUCUGGAAGAAUCUGGAGACAGGUGCUGCAUGGCUGUCGUCAGCUCGUGUCGUGAGAUGUUGGGUUAAGUCCCGCAACGAGCGCAACCCUUGCCUUUAGUUGCCAGCAGUUCGGCUGGGCACUCUAAAGGGACUGCCGGUGUUAAACCGGAGGAAGGUGGGGAUGACGUCAAGUCCUCAUGGCCUUUAUGACCAGGGCUACACACGUGCUACAAUGGUCGGUACAAAGGGUUGCCAAGCCGCGAGGUGGAGCUAAUCCCAUAAAACCGAUCGUAGUCCGGAUCGCAGUCUGCAACUCGACUGCGUGAAGUCGGAAUCGCUAGUAAUCGUGAAUCAGAAUGUCACGGUGAAUACGUUCCCGGGCCUU
rnacentral:rRNA from 1 species